AUGGUUCCGCGGGAGCAAGCGGUAGUCUGGUGUGUGUGGGUUUGGUUGUGCCCGUGUCCUCUCAUGGGGACAGCCACUCAGUUCAGCUCUGGACAAAGGAGACUCAUGAUUUGGAUCCGCCAUGUUGUUCCGGUCGUCGGUGCUGCUUCCCCGGCUGCUUCUUGGGCGGAGGAGGGAGCUCGGUUGCUUCUUGGGCGGAGGAGGGAGCUCGGUCCAUCUGUUCGCCCAGCCGCCCAAAUCCAUGGGGGACAUGUCCACGAUUCAACGCCCGCCCGACGUUGUCACCAAGAUGUCAUUUUGCUUAUCAAUUUUUCGGGCCGGACCACCCUGCUGUCAAAUGCUAGCUCCGCCACUGCCAAGGAGGUAUAUAACUAUCCUAGUUCUGAAAUUUAA
rnacentral:rRNA from 1 species